GUGGGGAAUAUUGGACAAUGGGCGAAAGCCUGAUCCAGCCAUGCCGCGUGUGUGAAGAAGGUCUUCGGAUUGUAAAGCACUUUAAGUUGGGAGGAAGGGCAGUAAGUUAAUACCUUGCUGUUUUGACGUUACCGACAGAAUAAGCACCGGCUAACUUCGUGCCAGCAGCCGCGGUAAUACGAAGGGUGCAAGCGUUAAUCGGAAUUACUGGGCGUAAAGCGCGCGUAAGUGGUUUUGUAAGUUGGAGGUGAAAUCCCCGGGCUCAACCUGGGAACUGGCUGCAAAACUGCAUGACUAGAGUACGGUAGAGGGUAGUGGAAUUUCCUGUGUAGCGGUGAAAUGCGUAGAUAUAGGAAGGAACACCAGUGGCGAAGGCGACUACCUGGACUGAUACUGACACUGAGGUGCGAAAGCGUGGGGAGCAAACAGGAUUAGAAACCCGUGUAGUCC
rnacentral:rRNA from 1 species